ACAGUCGUGUCUAAAUGUUGAAUUAAGCAGGAAUAUCUGGAGGAGUGUCAGCUGAACAGAGAUCUGCUGCUGUGAAGAUGAUGUUUGUUAAAGAAGAGAGUGAGGAGAGCACGAGUGAACCAGAAACCUCCAGAAUAAAACUUGAACCAGAAACCUGCAGAACAAAACACGAGGAACCAGAAAACCGGAGAAUAAAACACGAGGAACCAGAAAACCGGAGAAUAAAACACGAGGAACAAGGAGACCCGUCUGUGCAGCAGUCUCCACAAGAUAUACCAAAGAAAUCAAGAGUCGAGAAGGCUGAAAAAGUGUUAUCACCUCUGUGGGAUCAUCCACAGAUCUCUGCAGCAGAAAAGGCUAAAGAAACUGGAGCCCCUACCCUGCAAAUUGCUCUGCAGGAGGCAAAGCAGACCAUUGAAGUUCAAAAAAGGGAGAUUGCUACCCUAAAAGAAUGGGUAGAUACACUUAAAGAGGAAAGAAAUUUCCUCCGCGAAAGACUUACAGAGGCUCUUGCAUUUAGAAGUAAUAUCCCACCUAUAAAGCAGGCACCUGAACAGAGGAAACAGGAGUCAGAUAUAUCUGACUCCUCAUCUUCUGAUUCAUCGUCUGAGCACGAUUCGGAGUCCUCAGAGACCAAGAAUAGGAAGAAGAAGAAGAAGUCCCAGUCCAAAACGGCAAAAAAACGGGGCAAGACACUAAGAGUCAAAACCCCUGACGACUCCAUCCGCCGCUACACAAUGGUAUUGGAAAAGGUUAAAAAGGAUCGCAUCAGCAAAGCUGAAGCUUAUUUUAGGCUUGGGGUAGAUCGGAAUACCAUUGUGUCUCAGGCUCCGAUUGCAGAACUUGCAGCAACUAAUCCAGAUCUGUUCCAUACCCUGAGGUCCACUUUUAAAAGAAAGGACAGCCUGAAAAGGUUUGUUGAAACUUGCAGGGGGUUUUGUGAGCAGGAGCCUACAGCUUCAGCUAUCUUAAAGAAAAAAUAUGAUGGAUCCUUACUGGAUAUUUACAAGAACUAAGCAAGUUUGUAUAUGUUAGUAUGCCAUGUGCCAUUUAUUUGUUCAUUUUAUUUUUGUUUAGCAUUAAAUAUUUCAUGAGGAGUCCACAUGAGUAGCUUGUUACAUUAAAAAGUGGUUCCUUACCCUUAAAAAAGACCAAGCUGUUUGUGAAACCUUUUUUCAUCUUUUUUUUUAAAUUUUAUUUUUUUGGAAAUCCUUUAACAGCUUUAUGGUUUUGUUAAGUGUUUUCAGAUAAAGGCACUAAAAGUUCAUGGUCUAUGUACUGUAUUCCUGAUCAGCUCUUCCCAGGCAUUGCUGUUCAUUUAACUGGGUUAUACUGUUUCUGAAUAAAACAGAAAGUUAAGAUCA
ensembl:lncRNA